CGGUUCGAACAAAGAAGCCUCAAUAACUUUAAGCCAUGGAAUCCUCCUCUACUUUCCUCAUCACUCACAAUGGGCGACCGUGAACGAGACAGGGACCGAGACCGGGACAGAGACCGAGAAAGACGCCGCGACAGAGACGACCGUGAUCGUGGCCGCAGCAAGAGGUCCCAUACUCCCGACCGCACCCGAUCCCGCCACCCCCGCUCUCCCGACCGCUACCGCUCCCGCACCCUCUCCCGCUCCCGCUCCCCCCCUGACGACCGCUCCCACCGCCGCCGCCACCACCACCACCGGACUCCCUCUCCGGAGUCCCGCAAGCGCCACCGCCGCGAUUCAACCGCCGACGACGAGAGGGAGAGGCAGAAGGUGGUGUCGGACUUCGUCGACCGGAUCGCUAAGGAGCAGCAGAAGCAGAAGAGGCAGAGCGAUAAUGGCAGUGAAGGAGGAGAAGGAGAGAGAGAGGAGGAGGGAGGAGGAGGAGGAGAAGAGGGAGGAAUGAACGAGGACGAGAUGGAGAUGAUGAGGAUGAUGGGGAUUCCGAUGGGCUUCGACUCCACCAAGGGGAAGCAGGUCGCCGGCGCUGACGUCAGCGGCGUUAAGGCCGUUACCAAGCGCCAGCCCCGCCAGUACAUGAACCGCCGCGGGGGAUUCAACCGCCCCUUGCCCGCCGAGCGUACUCGCUGAGACCGGUCACUGUUUCCCAAAUCCGAACCAGGUGCAUGAAAGCCAUCAACCGGGAGCAAAGGAGUAAAGCCAUAAUUGGCAUCUGGAUCAGCCAUUAUGAUAAUACCAAGGUGUGCUAAAUUUGGACGACUGAUCCCAAAAUCCAAUUUUCUUUAUCCAUUAUAGUGCCCGUCUGUUUGCAAACUUUCUUUUAAAAAUAAGGAGAACCACACUGAUACCCCUCGAGGUUUGUUAAAAUUACAACACUACCCCCUCCGGACUGUAAUUUUUUACGUCAACACCCUUUGGAAAGGUUUUCUUGGGUCGCAGGCGCUUGACAUGGAUCGGCUUGGUCAUGGUUUGACUACAUAGAAAGGUUUGACCUAGUAAGGGAGGCGAUGGACUGUGGAUCUCAUCAAGACAACGAUGAGGCUAUUGGGUCAAGGCAGAGGCUCAAUGAGUGAGGGGCUGUGUGUUGCAGUGAUUAGGGCUGGCAAUUCGUGUCACGUGUCGUGUUUGUGUCGUGUUUUGA